rnacentral:snoRNA from 1 species
GGGCUUAUGAUGAUAAAUUAAAAUUAUCUUAGUGGAUUUCAGUGAGAUUUAGUUAUCAAUGAUCUGAUUGUUACACACACUGAGGCCC